AGAGUUUGAUCCUGGCUCAGGAUGAACGCUGGCGGCGUGCCUAAUACAUGCAAGUCGAACGAGGUGCUUUUGUAGCAAUACGAGAGUAUCCUAGUGGCGAACGGGUGAGUAACGCGUUGGUGACCUACCCCAAAGUGUGGGAUAACAGUCCGAAAGGAUUGCUAAUACCGCAUGUGGUUAUUGGAUUUAGAAACCGAUAACUAAAGGAGCAAUUCGCUUUGGGAGGGACCUGCGUCCCAUCAGCUAGUUGGUGAGGUAAUGGCUCACCAAGGCGACGACGGGUAGGGGACCUGAGAGGGUGACCCCCCACAAUGGAACUGAAACACGGUCCAUACACCUACGGGUGGCAGCAGUAGGGAAUAUUGCCCAAUGGACGAAAGUCUGAGGCAGCAACGCCGCGUGUGUGAUGAAGGCCUUCGGGUCGUAAAGCACUUUUCUGGGAGAUGAGAAAGGACAGUAUCCCAGGAAUAAGUCUCGGCUAACUACGUGCCAGCAGCCGCGGUAAAACGUAGGAGGCGAGCGUUAUCCGGAUUCACUGGGCGUAAAGCGCGUGCAGGUGGCGCGGUAAGUUAGGCGUGAAAUCUCCCGGCUCAACUGGGAGAGGUCGUCUAAUACUACCGUGCUUGAGAGCAGAAGAGGAAGAUGGAAUUCCCGGUGUAGUGGUGAAAUGCGUAGAUAUCGGGAGGAACACCAGUGGCGAAGGCGAUCUUCUGGUCUGUUUCUGACACUCAGACGCGACAGCUAGGGUAGUAAACGGGAUUAGAGACCCCGGUAAUCCUAGCCGUAAACGAUGUGAACUUGGCGUUGGUGGGUUAAACUCCAUCAGUGCCGUAGCAAACGCGAUAAGUUCACCGCCUGGGGACUACGGCCGCAAGGUUAAAACUCAAAGGAAUUGACGG
rnacentral:rRNA from 1 species